rnacentral:rRNA from 1 species
CCUCCCCGCCGGAAGACCAAGGGUUCCUGUCCAACGUUAAUCGGGGCAGGGUAAGUCGACCCCUAAGGCGAGGCUGAAAAGCGUAGUCGAUGGGAAACGGGUUAAUAUUCCCGUACUUCUUACAAUUGCGAUGGGGGGACGGAGAAGGCUAGGUGGGCCUGGCGACGGUUGUCCAGGUUCAAGUGCGUAGGCUGAGUGUUUAGGUAAAUCCGGAUACUCUUAAGGCUGAGACACGACGUCGAGCUACUACGGUAGUGAAGUCAUUGAUGCCAUGCUUCCAGGAAAAGCCUCUAAGCUUCAGAUUGUAAGGAAUCGUACCCCAAACCGACACAGGUGGUCGGGUAGAGAAUACCAAGGCGCUUGAGAGAACUCGGGUGAAGGAACUAGGCAAAAUGGUACCGUAACUUCGGGAGAAGGUACGCUCUUGAUGGUGAAGUCCCUUGCGGAUGGAGCUGACGAGAGUCGCAGAUACCAGGUGGCUGCAACUGUUUAUUAAAAACACAGCACUGUGCAAAAUCGUAAGAUGACGUAUACGGUGUGACGCCUGCCCGGUGCCGGAAGGUUAAUUGAUGGGGUUAGCGUAAGCGAAGCUCUUGAUCGAAGCCCCGGUAAACGGCGGCCGUAACUAUAACGGUCCUAAGGUAGCGAAAUUCCUUGUCGGGUAAGUUCCGACCUGCACGAAUGGCGUAAUGAUGGCCACGCUGUCUCCACCCGAGACUCAGUGAAAUUGAAAUCGCUGUGAAGAUGCAGUGUACCCGCGGCUAGACGGAAAGACCCCGUGAACCUUUACUACAGCUUGGCACUGAACAUUGAACCUACAUGUGUAGGAUAGGUGGGAGGCUUUGAAGACGUGACGCCAGUUGCGUUGGAGCCGUCCUUGAAAUACCACCCUUGUAUGUUUGAUGUUCUAACGUUGGCCCCUAAUCGGGGUUGCGGACAGUGCCUGGUGGGUAGUUUGACUGGGGCGGUCUCCUCCCAAAGAGUAACGGAGGAGCACGAAGGUGGGCUAAUCACGGUUGGACAUCGUGAGGUUAGUGCAAUGGCAUAAGCCCGCUUAACUGCGAGAAUGACGGUUCGAGCAGGUGCGAAAGCAGGUCAUAGUGAUCCGGUGGUUCUGAAUGGAAGGGCCAUCGCUCAACGGAUAAAAGGUACUCCGGGGAUAACAGGCUGAUACCGCCCAAGAGUUCAUAUCGACGGCGGUGUUUGGCACCUCGAUGUCGGCUCAUCACAUCCUGGGGCUGAAGUCGGUCCCAAGGGUAUGGCUGUUCGCCAUUUAAAGUGGUACGCGAGCUGGGUUUAGAACGUCGUGAGACAGUUCGGUCCCUAUCUGCCGUGGGCGUUGGAAGAUUGAAGGGGGCUGCUCCUAGUACGAGAGGACCGGAGUGGACGAACCUCUGGUGUUCGGGUUGUGUCGCCAGACGCAUUGCCCGGUAGCUAAGUUCGGAAUCGAUAACCGCUGAAAGCAUCUAAGCGGGAAGCGAGCCCUGAGAUGAGUCUUCCCUGAUACUUUAAGUAUCCUAAAGGGUUGUUCGAGACUAGAACGUUGAUAGGCAGGGUGUGUAAGCGCUGUGAGGCGUUGAGCUAACCUGUACUAAUUGCCCGUGAGGCUUAACCAUACAACACCCAAAGGGUUUUG